GUUGAAGUGGCAGAACCCGGUAAUUGCAAAAGACCUAAGCUCUUUCCACAGAGGUUCAAAUCCUCUCCCCAACU
rnacentral:tRNA from 2 species